rnacentral:rRNA from 1 species
CUACGGGAGGCUGCAGUUAAGAAUCUUCCGCAAUGGACGAAAGUCUGACGGAGCGACGCCGCGUGGGUGAAGAAGGCCGAGAGGUUGUAAAGCCCUUUUCUGCUUGAGGAAUAAGCCUGGUAGGGAAUGACCGGGUGAUGACGGUAGGGCAGGAGUAAGCCCCGGCUAAUUACGUGCCAGCAGCCGCGGUAACACGUAUGGGGCGAGCGUUGUUCGGAAUCAUUGGGCGUAAAGGGCGUGUAGGCGGAAAUGCAAGUCUGGUGUGAAAGACCGCAGCUCAACUGCGGGGACGCGCUGGAAACUGCAUAUCUUGAGUUCCGGAGGGGGAGUUGGAAUUCCUGGUGUAGGGGUGAAAUCUGUUGAUAUCAGGAAGAACAUCGGUGGCGAAGGCGAACUCCUGGACGAGAACUGACGCUGAGGCGCGAAAGCGUGGGGAGCGAACAGGAUUAGAUACCCUAGUAGUC